rnacentral:tRNA from 1 species
GCCCGCGUGGUGAAAUGGUAGACACUGGGGACUUAAAAUCCCUUGGCCGCAAGGCCGUGCCGGUUCAAGUCCGGCCGCGGGCACCA